UAGUCUUUUGCACGCCGCGAGGUUCAUCUGUGUGACAAGGAGCUCUUUGUUUUGCCAGUCUCGCUGCUUGACAUUCUUGUGUUGGUUGUGAUCGAAGCCCAUUUUCGCUUCUCAGCUCCGAAUGUGGUUGCGUGCUGGACACAGACCGGUAGAUGGGUUUGAGAUAAGUCUUGACUGCAUGAUGCAAGCGGAGUUGGCAAUGGUCAGGAGUAACGUAUUGGAUUCGGUUGCGACGCCACUGCUGAAGGCAUAAAUUUCUGGGCGACGCUUCAUGCUUCUCUGAAGGUGGAAGUAGCGGCACUAUGAAACUGGUCUUGAGUUGGAUACGUAAGGAAUUAGGCGAUGCAGAAGUGAGUAUUUUACUGCGCUUUCAGUAGAACAAGCGCGUUUCUAAACGCCGGCACAAUGGGUGGCCCUGAUGUGAUUCUUUCCUCUCUCGACAGAGCUAAGACGCAAUGGUACCAUUUCACAACAAUCAUCAUCGCUGGUAUGGGAUUCUUCACCGACGCUUACGACCUCUUUGUCAUUUCCACCGUUACUCGCCUACUCGGGCGCAUCUACUACACGGAUUAUUCUGGUCCAGCCCCGCACUUCCCUGGAACACUUCCUGCGAAUGUCGCCGGAGCUGUGAACGGUGUGGCACUUUGCGGGACUUUGGUGGGACAGCUCGUGUUUGGAUGGCUUGGUGAUAAGCUCGGGCGCAAGAAGGUGUAUGGAUGGACGCUUCUGCUCAUGAUCAUCACCUCCAUUGCGUCCGCCAUGUCGUUUGGGUCAACCGCGAAAGCGGUGAUGACUACACUCUGUUUCUUCCGGUUCUGGCUUGGAGUGGGUAUUGGUGGGGAUUACCCUCUCUCAGCAACAAUUAUGUCGGAGUAUGCGAAUCAGAAGACGCGCGGAGCAUUCAUUGCCGCCGUGUUCGCUAUGCAGGGCAUGGGAAUAUUGGGUGGGGCGACAAUGUCCAUCAUCGUGAGUGUCAUUUUUCGGAAUGCAUUGCACAAUUUCUCGUUCGACGACGGCAAUGUUUUGUCAACGCCACCUGAAGCAGAUUACGUAUGGCGAAUCAUCCUCGCAGCGGGUGCGAUCCCCGCAGCUUUGACCUUCUAUUUCCGCAUGAAGAUGCCUGAGACAGCUCGGUACACUGUUUUGGUGGCGAAGAACAACAAGCAGGCUGCUCUCGACAUGGGCCGCGUGUUGCAAGUGGACUUCACUGGCGCUGUCGAUCUCACCUCUACAGCUUCCGCGCGACGGGAGUAUGGGUUAUGGUCGAGGGAGUUCCUGAAACAUCACGGCAUCCAGCUGCUGGGGUGUACCAGCACAUGGUUCUUGCUUGAUAUUGCCUUCUAUUCACAGAAUCUAUUCCAGAAGGACAUCUUCUCCUCUAUCGGCUGGCUCCCGGCUGCCAGAAAAAUGAGCGCCUUGGAAGAGGUUUUUCAAAUCUCCCGAGCGCAAGCUUUGAUCGCCUUGGUCUCUACUGUUCCAGGCUACUGGGCGACGGUGGUGCUCGUAGACGUGAUCGGUCGCUGGGUGAUCCAAAUGGUCGGCUUCUUCUUCAUGACAUUGUUCAUGUUGAUUUUAACCUUACAAUACUAUGCUCUGCGCGGAGACCCUUGCAAUGAUGCUCAGUUUUGUGGAGGAAACCACACAGCCUUCCUAACUCUCUAUUCCCUCACCUUCUUCUUCGCCAACUUCGGCCCUAAUGUGACCACCUUCAUCAUUCCCGCUGAGCUCUUCCCUGCAAGGCUGAGAUCAACUUGCCACGGUAUUUCAGCUGCAGCAGGGAAAGCUGGUGCUAUAGUAGGCGCAUUUGGUUUCUUGUACGCUGCUCAGAGCCAGGUACAAGGAAAGCAAGACAAAGGCUAUCCCACCGGAAUCGGAUUGAAGAACUCUUUCUUGCUGCUGACAGUCAUAAAUGCUGCGGGCUUCUUCUGCACUUUCCUCGUCCCGGAAACAAAUGGCCGAUCUCUGGAAGACCUUUCGGGGGAGAAUUCAGAGCAGCCACCAGCUGACGUCGCGCUUCAAGCUGCAUACAGUGCACCCUACAGGGUAAAGCCGCCGUGUAAUUUCUAGGGUCUGAACUUAGAAAGAGUUAGUUCAUCACGACUUUGUGGCCAGGCCUUCAUCCUGAAGAGGCUGAGAGUUGCUGAUGGUGUUAGCAAGUUAGGUUGUAUACAGUCCACUAUUGCUAUUCUUACUUUAUUUCAAAAUUUUCGGCAGGUGCUUUUCAAUAGCAGCUGAUUAACCGCAGUUUAGAGCUCCCGCUGAACGGGUGAAAACUUCUGCUUCAAUGCAGGUUUAGGGUUACAAUAUGGAGAUGGUAAGCAAGCCUUGAUUCAUUUCCUCUACUGAGCGUGGACGACGAUGUUGCGUAGCGUGUAUUUCAAGAGUUCUUCGUUAAUGUUUGCAAGCUCUGCCCGGCCUCAACAACUGAGUUCACCAUUUUCACUCGCCUGGUUAGCCAAGGAGUAUUUCGAGUUCGACGACACCACCAGAAUGAACGUGCUUCUUUUGUGACCCUCUCCAGUAAUUACACUGCUGUUGAGUUGCGUCCCCGGAGUGUCUGUAAUAGGUAGUAAGUAUUCUUCGUGUGUUAUACAACUACCUCAAAUGCGUUCAACUUGUGACCUUGUCUCAUCUUACAAGAACGCGCUGAACAAAGAUUCGAUGUCGGAAUUCAUAUUACAUCGUGAGUCUCAUGCUCCAGCCUGCGCAACACAGCCAUUUCAAGCGAAACAGAACAAAAUCAGAGUAAAACGAAUUCUGCUCAGACUUGUCUAGCGCAGUUGGAUAUGAAAUGUCGAUUCGGGAAGAAUCUUCAUCCUUGUUUUGUCACAUUCAUUUUCUGUGAUAGCAAGGUCUCGCUACCCCGGUAUCCGUAACUAGUGUGUAAACCUGAAUAGUGCAUAUUCCUAAUUAGUAUGAUACAAGCUCUCUAGCUGCAAUACACACUACUCGUGGAAUAAUAAAAAAUAAAAAACGUCAAAAUUA